UCCUACGGGAGGCAGCAGUAAGGAAUAUUCCACAAUGAGCGAAAGCUUGAUGGAGCGACACAGAGUGCAGGAUGAAGUCUUUAGGGAUGUAAACUGCUGUUGUAAGGGAAGAAAAAACCAGAUAGGAAAUGAUUUAGUCUUGACGGUACCUUAUUAGAAAGUGACGGCAAACUAUGUGCCAGCAGCCGCGGUAAUACAUAGGUCGCAAGCGUUAUCCGGAAUUAUUGGGCGUAAAGCGUCCGCAGGUUUUUUGUUAAGUUUAAGGUUAAAUGCUAAAGCUCAACUUUAGUUCGCUUUAGAUACUGACAAAAUAGAAUUAUGAAGAGGUUAGCGGAAUUCCUAGUGGAGCGGUGGAAUGCGUAGAUAUUAGGAAGAACACCAAUAGGCGAAGGCAGCUAACUGGUCAUAUAUUGACACUAAUGGACGAAAGCGUGGGGAGCAAACAGGAUUAGAUACCCUGGUAGUCC
rnacentral:rRNA from 1 species